CACCGCGGUUAUACGAGAGGCUCAAGUUGACAGACAACGGCGUAAAGCGUGGUUAAGGAAAACAUACAACUAAAGCGGAACCUCCUCCUAGCUGUUAUACGCUUCCGAGGAAGUGAACCCCAACUACGAAAGUGGCUUUAUCUAACCUGAACCCACGAAAGCUAAGAAACAAACUGGGAUUAGAUACCCCACUAUGCUUAGCCUUAAACAUUGAUCGUUUACUACAUCAAAUCAUCCGCCUGGGAAUUACGAACAUUAGUUUAAAACCCAAAGGACUUGGCGGUGCUUAAUAUCCACCUAGAGGAGCCUGUUCUAGAACCGAUAAUCCCCGUUUAACCUCACCCCCCCUAGCUUUUUCCGCCUAUAUACCACCGUCGCCAGCUUACCCUGUGAAGGACUAAUAGUAAGCACAAUCGGCACAGCCCAGAACGUCAGGUCGAGGUGUAGUGGAUGGGAGGGGAAGAAAUGGGCUACAUUCGCUGCCCACCAGCGAACACGAAUGCUACAUUGAAACAUGUAGCUGAAGGAGGAUUUAGCAGUAAGCAGAAAGCAGAGUGUUCCGCUGAAGCCGGCUCUUAAGCGCGCACACACCGCCCGUCACCCUCCCCAAGCAACUGGACCUAAAAUUUUCUUUAAACCCUAACAAACGCGAAGGAGAGGAAAGUCGUAA
rnacentral:rRNA from 1 species